UGCCAGCAGCCGCGGUAAGACGAACCGUCCAAACGUUAUUCGGAAUCACUGGGCUUAAAGGGUGCGUAGGCGGCGCGGAAAGUUGGGUGUGAAAUACCUCGGCUCAACCGAGGAACUGCGCCCAAAACUACCGUGCUCGAGGGAGAUAGAGGUGAGCGGAACUUAGGGUGGAGCGGUGAAAUGCGUUGAUAUCCUAAGGAACACCGGUGGCGAAAGCGGCUCACUGGAUCUCUUCUGACGCUGAGGCACGAAAGCUAGGGUAGCGAACGGGAUUAGAUA
rnacentral:rRNA from 1 species